CCUGGCUCAGAACGAACGCUGGCGGCAUGCCUAACACAUGCAAGUCGAACGAGACCUUCGGGUCUAGUGGCGCACGGGUGCGUAACGCGUGGGAAUCUGCCCUUAGGUUCGGAAUAACUUCGGGAAACUGAAGCUAAUACCGGAUGAUGACGUAAGUCCAAAGAUUUAUCGCCUAAGGAUGAGCCCGCGUAGGAUUAGCUAGUUGGUGAGGUAAAGGCUCACCAAGGCGACGAUCCUUAGCUGGUCUGAGAGGAUGAUCAGCCACACUGGGACUGAGACACGGCCCAGACUCCUACGGGAGGCAGCAGUGGGGAAUAUUGGACAAUGGGCGAAAGCCUGAUCCAGCAAUGCCGCGUGAGUGAUGAAGGCCUUAGGGUUGUAAAGCUCUUUUACCCGGGAUGAUAAUGACAGUACCGGGAGAAUAAGCUCCGGCUAACUCCGUG
rnacentral:rRNA from 1 species